rnacentral:tRNA from 1 species
UCCCUGGUGGUCCAGUGGUUAGGAUGCUGUUCUUCCACUGCAGAAGGCAUGGGUUUGAUCCCUGGUCAGGGAA